UUUAUUGGGUUUAAAGGGAGCGUAGGUUGACAUAUAAGUCAGCUGUGAAAGUUUACGGCUCAACCCGUGAAAUUGCAGUUGAUACUGUAUGUCUUGAGUGUACAAGAGGUGGGCGGAAUUCGUGGUGUAGCGGUGAAAUGCUUAGAUAUCACGAAGAACUCCAAUUGCGAAGGCAGCUCACUGGGGUACAACUGACACUGAGGCUCGAAAGUGUGGGUAUCAAACAGGAUUAGAUACCCUGGUAGUCCACACAGUAAACGAUGAAUACUCGCUGUUUGCGAUAUACAGUAAGCGGCCAAGCGAAAGCAUUAAGUAUUCCACCUGGGGAGUACGCCGGCAACGGUGAAACUCAAAGGAAUUGACGGGGGCCCGCACAAGCGGAGGAACAUGUGGUUUAAUUCGAUGAUACGCGAGGAACCUUACCCGGGCUUGAAUUGCAGAGGAACAUAGUUGAAAGAUUAUGGCCGCAAGGUCUCUGUGAAGGUGCUGCAUGGUUGUCGUCAGCUCGUGCCGUGAGGUGUCGGCUUAAGUGCCAUAACGAGCGCAACCCUUAUCAUUAGUUACUAACAGGUCAUGCUGAGGACUCUAGUGAGACUGCCGUCGUAAGAUGUGAGGAAGGUGGGGAUGACGUCAAAUCAGCACGGCCCUUACGUCCGGGGCUACACACGUGUUACAAUGGGGGGUACAGAGGGCAGCUACCGGGCGACCGGAUGCCAAUCCCAAAAACCUCUCUCAGUUCGGAUCGAAGUCUGCAACCCGACUUCGUGAAGCUGGAUUCGCUAGUAAUCGCGCAUCAGCCACGGCGCGGUGAAUACGUUCCCGGGCCUUGUACACACCGCCCGUCAAGCCAUGGGAGCCGGGGGUACCUGAAGUACGUAACCGCAAGGAGCGUCCUAGGGUAAAACUGGUGACUGGGGCUAAGUCGUAACAAGGUAGCCGUA
rnacentral:rRNA from 1 species